UACGGGAGGCAGCAGUGGGGAAUAUUGGGCAAUGGGCGAAAGCCUGACCCAGCAACGCCGCGUGAAGGAAGAAGGUUUUCGGAUUGUAAACUUCUGUCCUAUGUGAAGAGAAGGAGACGGUAGCAUAGGAGGAAGCCCCGGCUAACUACGUGCCAGCAGCCGCGGUAAU
rnacentral:rRNA from 1 species